UCUUCCAAAAAGGUAUGGGAGUUGGAGGCAAGGUGGUUGGAGCUAAGCCUUCCCAAAUGGCUGCAUCAAAGACAUCUUUAACUUUAUCCUGUAAAUGGAGAAAAAACAAAGUGCGAAUUGAUUUUUACGUGGAAUUUGUCAAAAGUGUUUGAUUU